CCCAUUUACACCAAACACCAGGACUGCCCUUGGGCCCCGAAGCCUAGAAACAAAGUCAGGCGCCCGUGGUCCGGGGGAGGCCGAGCAAAUCACAAACGCCCUGGGAAACGAGGGAGUCCGCGGAGCAGGGAGCGACGGCCGAGGGAUAACGAGGACCGAGCGCGGGCCCAGCGGGGAGGAGGACCCGCCUGGAUUGUGUUCCUGUCCCCGGCCCAAGGGAAAGCUCCUGGCCAAGAGGCUCUCCCGGCAGAGACGCGGGCCACACAGAGGCAGAAAGCCAGAGAAUGAGUGAACGCCCCCCAUUCUACAGAGGAGUAAACUGAGGCCGGAUAGAUGAAGUUCUAUGGGAAGACAAGCCGGAGGGCGCGUAGGAGUCCAUCGGGGUCUCUCCUUUCUGGGAGCCGCCCCCCACCCCGCCCCCAUCCUCGACUGACCCACUUGGUGACAUCUCGGUCAAGGCUGGGCCAGUAGUAGUCGAAGGAGACCUUCUUCCUGGUUUCCUGCAGGGAGCAAUGCAGGCCCGAGGAGGUGACGUGGGCCUGCUUCACCAGCUCCAGGCGGUCCUUCCGGUCCAGCACCACCAGGGACUUCUUGCCCAGACGCACGAACAUCAGAUUGUGGUCUGCAGACAAGACUCUGGUUACUGCAAGAGACUGACCCGGGCCCUGCUCCCCUGGGGGGGAAACCUCCCAAAACGGGUGAGCCGGACCCUCCCCAGGGGGAAACCUCCCAAAACGGGUGACCUGGACCCUCCCCGGGGGGAAACCUCCCCCAAAGGGUGACCUGGACCCUCGCUGGGGGGAAACCUCCCAAAACGGGUGAGCCGGACCCUCCCCGGGGGGAAACCUCCCAAAAUGGGUGACCCGGACCCUCCCCGGGGGGAAACCUCCCCCAAAGGGUGACCUGGACCCUCCCCGGGGGGGGGGGAACCUCCCAAAACGGGUGACCCGGACCCGCCCUGGGGGGGGAGAUUUUCCCCCCCAAAAAGGGUGACCCGGAUCCUCCCCGGAGGGGAACUUCCCCCAAAGGGUGACCCAGACCCUCCCCGGGGGGAAACCUCCCCCAAAGGGUGACCCGGACCCUCCCUGGGGGGAAACCUCCCCCAAAGGGUGACCUGGACCCUCCCCGGGGGGAAACCUCCCCCAAAGGGUGACCCGGAUCCUCCCCGGAGGGGAACUUCCCCCAAAGGGUAACCCAGACCCUCCCCAGGGGGGGGGAAACCUCCCAAAAAGGGUGACUCGGACCCUCCUGGGAGGGAGUUCUCCCCAAGGGGACAAUUCCAGACUCUUCCGUGGGGAGGGAGAGCCCAGGGUGAGGGGGGAGGCAGCCAGGGUGACCUCCCCCAUCCAUCCAGACAAAGGGGAGCAUAAUGGCUCCACCCCAAACGUGCUGGAAAGAAUCCUGGAUAAGAGAACUGUAGAAACAUGUUCACCCAUAUUGGAUUUAAUGUAUAUUUUAACAUGUUCAACAUAUACUGGACUAGCUGCCAUCCAGGGGAGGGGAAACUAGGAACACGAGGCUCUGCAAAUUGUCCGUCCGUGCUUUGAAAAUAAAAAGCUUCAAUAAAAGAGAAAGAAAGCUG